GUAGACGUUAGCUCAGUGGUUACAGCACAGGCCUCUGGCUCCCGGGUCCGCGAGUUCGAGUCCCGUCGUCUACU
rnacentral:tRNA from 1 species